rnacentral:tRNA from 1 species
GGGCGUUUAGCUCAGGGGGAGAGCGCUUCCUUCACACGGAAGAGGUCGUAGGUUCAAAUCCUACAACGCCCA